rnacentral:rRNA from 1 species
GGCUUAACACAUGCAAGUCGAACGCUCCGCAAGGGGAGUGGCAGACGGGUGAGUAACGCGUGGGAACGUGCCCUUCGGUUCGGAAUAACUCAGGGAAACUUGAGCUAAUACCGGAUACGUGCGAGAGCAGAAAGAUUUAUCGCCGAAGGAUCGGCCCGCGUCCGAUUAGCUAGUUGGUGAGGUAAUGGCUCACCAAGGCGACAAUCGGUAGCUGGUCUGAGAGGAUGAUCAGCCACAUUGGGACUGAGACACGGCCCAAACUCCUACGGGAGGCAGCAGUGGGGAAUAUUGGACAAUGGGCGCAAGCCUGAUCCAGCCAUGCCGCGUGAGUGAUGAAGGCCUUAGGGUUGUAAAGCUC